UACAGAGGUCUCGAGCGUUGUUCGGAUUCAUUGGGCGUAAAGGGUGCGUAGGUGGCGCUGUAAGUCGGGUGUGAAAUCCUGAGGCUUAACCUCGGAACUGCAUUCGAUACUGCGGCGCUUGAGGACUGGAGAGGAGACUGGGAUUCAUGGUGUAGCAGUGAAAUGCGUAGAGAUCAUGAGGAAGACCAGUGGCGAAGGCGGGUCUCUGGACAGUUCCUGACACUGAGGCACGAAGGCCAGGGGAGCAAACGGG
rnacentral:rRNA from 1 species